CAGCAAAUUCACAAUGUGUUUUUCCUGUAAACUUUUUUUUUUCUUAUUUGGGUAACAUUGUUGUAUGUAAUGAUUGCUAGUUUAAUUUGCUCUUGGGACUGAGUCUGUGCUUUCCGAUACCAUCUCUCAGCAGGGAUAAAUGAAUAAAUGCAAAAUACAAUACAUUAGUAUCCUUAACGCAGUGCAGAAUAUAUGUUGUGUAUUUGGGAACAAUAUGCUUUAAUUGUCCACUGUUAUAUUACCCUGUUUUCCUAGCAAUCAACAAAGCAUUCCUCCCAUUAAGAAUGAAUAUGACUCUUGGAAUUAAUUCUUUAGACAAAGGGCUCACUGAAGUGACAUUCAUUCCAAAAGGAUUACAUCCCUGCUGUUGAUAAACAUGUAUUGUACAUCUGUCUGUUUAGAUCUGAAAAUGUUAU